UUUUUAAAGAGGGAGGAAGAUUCCAUUUUCUUCCAACUAGAUGAGCAGAAACUGUAAAGUCUGACUAUUCGAAGUGCUGGUAAAAACGUGGAGAGAUAGGAGGCCUCCCCUCUGCCAGUAGAAGCAUAAGCUGGUUCACUUUGGAAAGAAAGUUAUGCCAUUCUGUGUCCCAGCAACUCUGCUGCUAGGUAAUGAAUCUAGGGCUUGUACACAAGGCGACUUCACAAGUAUGUUCAUGGCAUCCUCAUUUGCAAGAGUGAAAAUUGUAAUCAGCUUCAAUGCUCUAGACCAGGAGAGCUGGUAAAUAAUUGUUUUUAAUUUAUGCAGUGGAAUACUGUACAGCAGAUUAAAGUGAAUGAACCAGCGUUACACAUGUUAACAUGGACACAUCUCAUAAACACAAUUUUCGGUGAAAUAAAGUUUUUUAAGAAACUGCAUACAGUGGCAUGCAUUUAUAUAAAGCCAAGCAAAAGAUAACAUAUUUAUAUUAUCACUAACAACUGAAGUCAUAGUAAAAUAUGCAGGAGAAUGACAGCUAGCAAAGUCAUGGUCAUAGUUAGCUCUGGAAAAAAGAAGAGAAAAAGGACUGGGAACGAAUACUCAGUGAAUACCAACUCUACCUGGACAUUGGUUUCUUUUGAAAACAUUUCAUGUCAAUAUUUGAUAAAGCUGCUGCUGCUGCUGCUGCUGCUGCUAAGUCGCUUCAGUCGUGUCUGACUCUGUGCGACCCCACAGACGGCAGCCCACCAGGCUCCCCCAUCCCUGGGAUUCUCCAGGCAGGAACACUGGAGUGGGUUGCCAUUUCGUUCUCCAAUGCAUGAAAGUGAAAAGUGAAAGUGAAGUCUCUCAGUCGUGUCCGACUCUUAAAGAGCCCACCGACUGCAGCCUACCAGGCUCCUGCGUCCAUAGGAUUCUCCAGGCAAGACUUGAUAAAGCUAGUAUCUACAUAUUAGCAAAAUCAUCUGCACUUUUCAGUACAUUUGAAAUAUCUUUCAAUAUUAAAGAAAAAGAAUUGGCAGCAAAUGGAUGAAUGGCCUAGUUAUUGGGAGCUUCAUGUUCGUCAGUCACACGUCUGAUACCAACUUUGCUGAGCCUGGCCAGCGCAUCACCAGGACUGCCAAAUCCCCAGCUGCUUAUGGAAGCACCAGAUCUGCUGGAUCUUCAUAAAGCAGGACAAAGCUGCUGCUCCUUACCGCAUGCCAACAGGACAGGAGUGCCUUGGACCAUCCCUGCCCCAAGCUUGAGAGCAAUUACAUUUUCAAAAGGAGGCCGUGUUCCUUUAUCUCAUGAAAAAGUAAUACUUGUAUGAGACUUCCCUAGCAGUCCGGUGGUUAAGACUUCACCUCCAGUGCAGGGGGUGUGAGUUCAAUCCCUGGUCGGGGAGCUGAGAUCGCACAUGCCUCGUGGCCAAGAAACCAAAACAGAAAACAGAGGCAAUAUUGUAACAAAUUCAAUAAAGGCUUUAAAAAUGGUCCA
rnacentral:lncRNA from 1 species